rnacentral:rRNA from 1 species
AUUGAACGCUGGCGGCAGGCCUAACACAUGCAAGUCGAGCGAGCGGCGGACGGGUGAGUAAUGUCUGGGAAACUGCCUGUUGGAGGGGGCUAACUACAGGAAACGGUAGCUAAUACCCCAUCCCAUCGGACGUGUCCAGAUGGGACUGGCUAGUAGGGGGGGGAAAGGCUCACCUAGGCGACGAUCCCUAGCUGGUCUGAGAGGAUGACCAGCCACACUGGAACUGAGACACGGUCCAGACUCCUACGGGAGGCAGCAGUGGGGAAUAUUGCACAAUGGGCGCAAGCCUGAUGCAGCCAUGCCGCGUGUGUGAAGAAGGCCUUCGGGUUGUAAAGUCCUUUCGGGGGGAAGGCGUUACCCGAAGAAGAAGCACCGGCUAACUCCGUGCCAGCCGUCGCGGUAAUAC